rnacentral:misc_RNA from 1 species
CCACCACAGCACCCGCUCAGCCUCUACGUGAAACCCACCAACACACGCGGAUACGCAAAGAACUGCCCCCCCCCUCCUCCUCCUCCCCGACUUACUCGAUCAGCCCCUCUCGUGCGCGCAUAUCGAUAAUUCUAUCGACGCAAACAGACACACGCACACGCGCACGCGCACGCGGACGGAAAUGAAGGGUUCUGGUGCCGCUAGUGGCAACUGUGACGGUAGCAGUGCAAAGUCCGCCACGGCGCAGCGUGAGUCCUCGCCCAUGGCAACGAUACCGACCAACACGGCAACGGCAACGGCUCCAAGCAAGGGCGGGAGGGCUGCUGUCCAGGUCCGUAGUCCGUCUGGUAGCCCGUUGCCAAACAUCGAGCUUGACGAAGCCACUAUCGCCCUCAUCAAGGAGAACGAGCAGAUGCUCCAGACCAUCACGACGCUGCAGCACGAACUCGACAAGCAGCAGGUGCGCCUCAACGAUGCCGAGACGGCGCGGGCAAGUCUCGUCGACGAGGUCGCCGAGCUGCGUAGUCAGCUGGGUCUAGCGACGAGCGAGGCAACCACAUCGACAGGAAAGGUGCUCAACUACAAGACGGCGUUCACCGACCUGCAGCAUGCGUUUGAUCAGCUCAAGAGGGACUCGGACGCCACUAAGGAGAAGCUCGAGGAGGCCACGAAGCGUGAGAGGGUGCUUAUGCAGAGCGCCUCCAACACGGCGCGGCAGCAAAGCCAGAUGAAAGAGUCCUUCGACUUGGUGACGCUCGCCUUGAGGAUGCCCAACUCCUUCCUCAUCUCAAUUCAGCGCAUCAUGGAGAAGUUAAACGAUCCGGCACUGCGCCCGGCAGACCGGAAACGCAAGCUGAAGGACGACAUUGACCGACUCCAGGCGCAGGUGGCAGCGUACGAGCCGGACAUGUCGUCAUCGGUGGUGGUGUCGGCAGAUGGCACGCCGAGCGUGGACAUCCCUAUCCGGCAGUGCGUGUACGCCUUCUUGUCUGUGAUCAUGACGCUGCUGAAGAACGAAGUAGGCAAGUAGACGGGCAUGGCGCACUCGUAAAAGGGCGGAAUACACACAUGCAGAGGUGAGGUGUGGGCAUGGGCGCAGCUGACAGCCUGCUUCGUCUCCAUUCCCCCAACCUCCUCUCCACAGAUCACACACGCUGCUCGUCUCCCGCUCGCCUCACUGCGACAGAACGUUCAACUGUUGCUUGCGAAGGACAUUCAUGAAGCCGCCGCCGCGCGGCCGCGCCCCCACCCUCCUCCCUCCGCUCGCACUCUCUCCCGUUCUGGUCGCCACAGCUUCUCCUUCACUGGAGAGGAGGGGGGUGGACGCGUACCCACCGGCACUCACGGCUUCCAUCAUCGCCGUGAGCAGCUGACUCGUUAGGCUCUACGUAUGCAUGUGUGUGUGGAGGCAUACGUAGAGAGAUAGACAUAAACAGAUUAGAUCUCUCUCUCUCCUUGAUCAACGCUCGGUUACUUUUCUGCCCCUCCCACGCCCUUCUUGUACUUCAUCGCAUCGGUAUCGUUGUGUGCGUGCGUACGUGUGUGGGUGUGGGUGUUCUCCCGGUGUGCAUGCGCCAUCAUCACUCCUUCCACCACCACUACCAACGCCGCGCCUCCUUUUCGUGUUUUCGCGGCGUUGUGGUCUCUGUUUCACUCUUUUUUUUUGCACAUUGAUGGCCAGCUUAAGCGUGAUGGAAAAGAAGCAGCGGUUGGCCGUGACUCCUUAGGUGUCACCGCCUUGUCGCACGCCUUCAUUCCCCACCGCCCCGCUUCCUCCCCGCCCUCCCCUCCCCCUUUUGCCUCUCCCCGUUGCGCUGCGCGGACGAGAUCACGCGCUGGUUUUGUGUGCCGCACAACCGUGCGGAG